GCUGAUCAGAAAAAUACACAGAAUAAAGGAAUGCCUACGCCCCCUCUCGACACACCCCCUUAUCAAAGGUCAUGUAAGGUCACGAAUGACGUAAGGAUUUUUGUCGAAAAUCUGAUGUUUAUGUGCGCAUGCGCGUUUUCCAUGCCACAUGGUGUUCAACCACGUGGCUGUGAAGGUGAUAUCAGUUGCUGGACUUCAGUUCUCAGGCAUCAGUCAGUCAGUGUCUCUACGGAGGAGUGUGAUACAUUGCUGGCAGUCUGACAAAAAACAUCAGAACAGUUUUCCAGCUGCUAAUAAUUUAUUUCCACGGCCCGGCUAGAUAUGAUAAUCUGAGAAGAGGCCAAGAAAAAUGUCGACUAGCCCACUACCAAGCAAGCUGACGAGAUUGAACUAUAACUGCAAGGGCCCUCCUUCAGAGAAUGGUUGCAGUGAUGAUGGCAGCAAGAUCGUGCGUGUCAGUGAACUCAAAAUCUGAAGAAGCCUAUGACAGCAGAGGUUGUACAGGUGGCAACUAACCUAGUCGCUGUAAUCAUCUCUGGAAAUCUUUUCAGUUGUACUACAAAGCCAUUGGAGCGUGGGAGAGGUCUAACUUGGAAUGCAGUUGUACAUAUCACACGGGAAAAACCAGAUCUGAGAACUAACUGCACAGCUACUGCCUUGUGUUUGGAUGUGUGCUGACAGCAAAACUCUAUCUGAAAUUACUUCACUGGCUUGCAGCCAAGACAAAAUUCGGGAGGCCUGGAUGAAGAUUGUGUCUAGUGUUAGAAGCAAGACAAUGCACCUGCUGAGGUCAUCAAGUGCUUCAAGAUGUUGCAACUUCCACAAAAGCCUGGGUGAAGAUUGUGUCUAGUGCUAAGGAGCAAGACAAUGUAACUACUGAGGUCAUCAAGUGCUUGAAACUUCCACAAAAAAUGAAAAUGAGGCAAAGCUGUGUUGAGAGGGUUCAGUCAAUGUUGUAAGGAAAGUGCUGAUUGUAAGACCUGUACUGAAUCUCUUAUGAAGCAUCUUGUCAACUGAUGGUGUAUUUAUAUAGUCUCUGCGUUGCUGUGCUCAUAGCUUUCUGUUUUUAACUUUCUGUUUAUACGCACAUGCAGAUUAGAGCUGGGCCACGGAUACAUUUACGUUCAGAUUGCUCAAAACCUAGCGGGGUCACGAGGUCAAGUCUGUUCAAAAGAUGAUCUCAGAACUAUUAAUUUUCGUAUUGAAACUGAUUUUGUUGUCAUGUGUCAAUAUAAAUAAUAAUUCAA